rnacentral:rRNA from 1 species
UUCAGAGGGUGCGAGCGUUAAUCGGAAUUACUGGGCGUAAAGCGUGCGUAGGCGGUUCGUUAAGUCAGCUGUGAAAGCCCCGGGCUCAACCUGGGAAUUGCGGUUGAAACUGGCGAACUAGAAUCUGGCAGAGGGGGGUGGAAUUCCACGUGUAGCAGUGAAAUGCGUAGAGAUGUGGAGGAACACCGAUGGCGAAGGCAGCCCCCUGGGCUGAGAUUGACGCUCAGGCACGAAAGCGUGGGGAGCAAACAGG